rnacentral:rRNA from 1 species
GACGAACGCUGGCGGCGUGCUUAACACAUGCAAGUCGAACGGAAAGGCCCUGCUUUUGUGGGGUGCUCGAGUGGCGAACGGGUGAGUAACACGUGAGUAACCUGCCCUUGACUUUGGGAUAACUUCAGGAAACUGGGGCUAAUACCGGAUAGGAGCUCCUGCUGCAUGGUGGGGGUUGGAAAGUUUCGGCGGUUGGGGAUGGACUCGCGGCUUAUCAGCUUGUUGGUGGGGUAGUGGCUUACCAAGGCUUUGACGGGUAGCCGGCCUGAGAGGGUGACCGGCCACAUUGGGACUGAGAUACGGCCCAGACUCCUACGGGAGGCAGCAGUGGGGAAUAUUGCACAAUGGGCGGAAGCCUGAUGCAGCAACGCGGCGUGCGGGAUGACGGCCUUCGGGUUGUAAACCGCUUUCGCCUGUGACGAAGCGUGAGUGACGGUAAUGGGUAAAGAAGCGCCGGCUAACUACGUG